rnacentral:rRNA from 1 species
UACAGAGGGUGCAAGCGUUGUUCGGAAUUAUUGGGCGUAAAGCGCGUGUAGGCGGCUUGGCAAGUCGGGUGUGAAAGCCCUCAGCUCAACUGAGGAAGUGCGCCCGAAACUGCUGAGCUCGAGUGUCGGAGAGGGGUGGGCGGAAUUCCCCAAGUAGAGGGUGAAAUUCGUAAGAGAUGGGGGAGGAACACCGGUGGGCGAAAGGGCGGGCCCGACCUGGACGGAACU